ACGAACGCUGGCGGCGUGCCUAACACAUGCAAGUCAACUUGACUGAAGGAGCAAUCUGACAGUAGAGUGGCGCAAGGGUGCGUAACGCGUAAGUAACUUGCCCAAGGUAAGGAAUAACGUCGAGAAAUCGGCGCUAAUACCUCAUAAUGCAGCGGAUCCGCAUGGAUAUGUUGUUAAAGGUUUACCGCCUUGGGAUAGGCUUGCGUCUGAUUAGCUAGUUGGUGUGGUAACGGCACACCAAGGCUACGAUCAGUAACUGGUCUGGGAGGAUGAUCAGUCACACUGGAACUGAGACACGGUCCAGACUCCUACGGGAGGCAGCAGUGAGGAAUAUUGGGCAAUGCUCGAAAGAGUGACCCAGCAACGCCGCGUGGAGGAUGAAGGUAUUCUAUAUCGUAAACUCCUGUGAGAGCAGACGAAAGACAGAUUAUUAAUCUGGAUGACUGUAUGCUCAGAGGAAGCCCCGGCUAACUACGUG
rnacentral:rRNA from 1 species